rnacentral:rRNA from 1 species
ACGAACGCUGGCGGCGUGCUUCACACAUGCCAGUCGAACGGAAAGGCCUUUUCGGAGGUACUCGAGUGGCGAACGGGUGAGUAACACGUGGGUGAUCUGCCCUGCACUCUGGGAUAAGCCUGGGAAACUGGGUCUAAUACCGGAUAGGACCGCACUUUAGUGUGUGUGGUGGAAAGUUUUUUCGGUGUAGGAUGAGCCCGCGGCCUAUCAGCUUGUUGGUGGGGUAAUGGCCUACCAAGGCGGCGACGGGUAGCCGGACUGAGAGGUUGGUCGGCCACAUUGGGACUGAGAUACGGCCCAGACUCCUACGGGAGGCAGCAGUGGGGAAUAUUGCACAAUGGGCGCAAGCCUGAUGCAGCGACGCCGCGUGGGGGAGGACGGCCUUCGGGUUGUAAACUCCUUUCGCCAGGGACGAAGCGUUUUGUGACGGUACCUGGAGAAGAAGCACCGGCUAACUACGUG